rnacentral:rRNA from 1 species
UUUGUAUAAUGGGUCAGCGACUUAUAUUCUGUAGCAAGGUUAACCGUAUAGGGGAGCCGGAGGGAAACCGAGUCUUAACCGGGCGUUAAGUUGCAGGGUAUAGACCCGAAACCCGGUGAUCUAGCCAUGGGCAGGUUGAAGGUUGGGUAACACUAACUGGAGGACCGAACCGACUAAUGUUGAAAAAUUAGCGGAUGACCUGUGGCUGGGGGUGAAAGGCCAAUCAAACCGGGAGAUAGCUGGUUCUCCCCGAAAGCUAUUUAGGUAGCGCCUCGUGAAUUCAUCUCCGGGGGUAGAGCACUGUUUCGGCUAGGGGGCCAUCCCGGCUUACCAACCCGAUGCAAACUGCGAAUACCGGAGAAUGUUAUCACGGGAGACACACGGCGGGUGCUAACGUCCGUCGUGAAGAGGGAAACAACCCAGACCGCCAGCUAAGGUCCCAAAGUCAUGGUUAAGUGGGAAACGAUGUGGGAAGGCCCAGACAGCCAGGAUGUUGGCUUAGAAGCAGCCAUCAUUUAAAGAAAGCGUAAUAGCUCACUGGUCGAGUCGGCCUGCGCGGAAGAUGUAACGGGGCUAAACCAUGCACCGAAGCUGCGGCAGCGA